UUACUUAUUCUGCUUAAUCACACACCAUGAUCUCUACAUCCCUGCUGCUGCUGCUGGCAGCCGUACACUGUGUUCACGGGGUUCAGCUGAUUCAACCUGGAAGCAUGGCUUUAACCCCUGGUCAGUCACUGACUCUGACCUGUGAAGUUUCUGGAUAUUCAUUAACUGAUAGCAGCUACUGUACAGACUGGAUACGACAACCUGCAGGAAAAACUCUGGAGUGGAUCGGAUAUAUAUGUUAUACUGGUGGCACUGCUUACAGUGAGAAACUAAAAAGCAGGUUUCAGAUUUCCAGAGACACGUCCAGGAGCACAGUGACAUUAACAGGACAGAACAUGCAGACUGAAGACACAGCUGUGUAUUACUGCGCUCGUCACCCACAGUGA